rnacentral:snoRNA from 1 species
UCUCAGGAUAGAUGGGCUCUGGUCCUAGCUUUGAAUUGGUCUGAUGGAUGACCCUGGGCAAUUCACUUCCACUCUCUGUGCCUCUGUUUACCCAUCUGUAAAAUGGGAAUUAUGAUACUGAUUCUCCUUUGUAAAGAGCU